AAUCCACCUGGGGAGUACGUUCGCAAGAAUGAAACUCAAAGGAAUUGACGGGGGCCCGCACAAGCGGAGGAACAUGUGGUUUAAUUCGAUGAUACGCGAGGAACCUUACCUGGACUUAAAUGUAGAUUGACAUGCUUAGAAAUAGGUUUUCUCUUCGGAGCAAUUUACAAGGUGCUGCAUGGUUGUCGUCAGCUCGUGCCGUGAGGUGUCGGGUUAAGUCCCAUAACGAGCGCAACCCCUAUCGUUAGUUGCUAGCAGGUAAUGCUGAGGACUCUAGCGAGACUGCCACCGUAAGGUGAGAGGAAGGUGGGGAUGACGUCAAAUCAGCACGGCCCUUACGUCCAGGGCUACACACGUGUUACAAUGGCCGAUACAAAGGGCAGCUACCAGGUGACUGGAUGCUAAUCUCCAAAGUCGGUCUCAGUUCGGAUCGGAGUCUGCAACUCGACUCCGUGAAGUUGGAUUCGCUAGUAAUCGCAUAUCAGCAACGAUGCGGUGAAUACGUUCCCGGGCCUUGUACACACCGCCCGUCAAGCCAUGGAAGCCGAGGGGACCUGAAGUUCGUAACCGCAAGGAGCGACCUAGGGUAAAAUUGGUAACUGGGGCUAAGUCGUAACAAGGUAGCCG
rnacentral:rRNA from 1 species